AUCUGCCUGGUGCAAGUGCUAAAGGAAAUGCAGAUGGAAGCUCACAGAUGGAAGCCUGCUAAUCAUACAGCUGUUUUUUUGUUGGGACUUCUACUGGAGAACAUUCUUAACUCCUUGAACUGCUUAAACGGUCUCUGAAUACUCUGACCAGAAGUCACCCUGCUAGCUGUGAACCCAGCUUGCCUGAAAGAGGUAGCAUGUUCCUGUGAGGUCGUUCCAGAUACCUCACCGAGAAUUCCAUGUAUGGAAGGAAGACAGAUAAAGGUAGCUCGAUUUGGU